CCUGGCUCAGGAUGAACGCUAGCGGCAGGCUAACACAUGCAAGUCGAGGGGCAUCGGGAGUAGCAAUACUGCCGGCGACCGGCGCAAGGGUGCGUAACGCGUGAGCAACAUGCCCGUAUCAGGGGGAUAAUCCAUGGAAACGUGGUCUAAUACCCCAUAGUAAUUAUGUAAGGCAUCUUAUAUAAUUUAAAGCUUUGGUGGAUACGGAUUGGCUCGCGUGACAUUAGCUAGAUGGUAAGGUAACGGCUUACCAUGGCUACGAUGUCUAGGGGUCCUGAGAGGAAGGUCCCCCCACACUGGAACUGAGACACGGUCCAGACUCCUACGGGAGGCAGCAGUGAGGAAUAUUGGACAAUGGAUGGAAAUCUGAUCCAGCCAUGCCGCGUGCAGGAAAGACGGCCCUAUGGGUUGUAAACUGCUUUUGUAUGGGAGCAAUAAGGGCUACGCGUAGUCCGAUGAGAGUACCAUACGAAUAAGCACCGGCUAACUCCGUGCCAGCAGCCGC
rnacentral:rRNA from 1 species